rnacentral:rRNA from 1 species
UGGGGAAUAUUGCACAAUGGGCGCAAGCCUGAUGCAGCCAUGCCGCGUGUGUGAAGAAGGCCUUCGGGUUGUAAAGCACUUUCAGUCGUGAGGAAGGUAGUGUAGUUAAUAGCUGCAUUAUUUGACGUUAGCGACAGAAGAAGCACCGGCUAACUCCGUGCCAGCAGCCGCGGUAAUACGGAGGGUGCGAGCGUUAAUCGGAAUUACUGGGCGUAAAGCGCAUGCAGGUGGUUUGUUAAGUCAGAUGUGAAAGCCCGGGGCUCAACCUCGGAAUAGCAUUUGAAACUGGCAGACUAGAGUACUGUAGAGGGGGGUAGAAGUUUCAGGUGUAGCGGUGAAAUGCGUAGAGAUCUGAAGGAAUACCGGUGGCGAAGGCGGCCCCCCUGGACAGAUACUGACACUCAGAUGCGAAAAGCGUGGGGAGCAAAACAGGAUUAGAUACCCUGGUAGUCCACGCCGUAAACGAUGUCUACUUGGAGGUUGUGGCCUUGAGCCGUGGCUUUCGGAGCUAACGCGUUAAGUAGACCGCCUGGGAGUACGGUCGC